rnacentral:rRNA from 1 species
UACAGAGGGGGCAAGCGUUAUUCGGAAUUAUUGGGCGUAAAGGGCGCGUAGGCGGCCGGACAAGUGGAAGGUGAAAUCCCCGAGCUCAACUCGGGAACUGCCCUCCAAACUGUUUGGCUUGAGUCCGGGAGAGGUGAGUGGAAUUCCCAGUGUAGCGGUGAAAUGCGUAGAUAUUGGGAGGAACACCAGUGGCGAAGGCGGCUCACUGGCUCAUAUCUGACGCUCAGGCGCGACAGCGUGGGGAUCAAACAGG